rnacentral:rRNA from 1 species
UCAAAGGAGACUGCCAGUGAUAAACUGGAGGAAGGUGGGGAUGACGUCAAGUCAUCAUGGCCCUUACGACCAGGGCUACACACGUGCUACAAUGGCAUAUACAAAGAGAAGCGACCUCGCGAGAGCAAGCGGACCUCAUAAAGUAUGUCGUAGUCCGGAUUGGAGUCUGCAACUCGACUCCAUGAAGUCGGAAUCGCUAGUAAUCGUAGAUCAGAAUGCUACGGUGAAUACGUUCCCGGGCCUUGUACACACCGCCCGUCACACCAUGGGAGUGGGUUGCAAAAGAAGUAGGUAGCUUAACCUUCGGGAGGGCGCUUACCACUUUGUGAUUCAUGACUGGGGUGAAGUCGUAACAAGGUAACCGUAGGGGAACCUGCGGUUGGAUCACCUCCUU